CUCAGGUUGAUAGCCGGGCGGCCAAGUCCCUAGCCCCUGCACGGUGGACUCCUACUUUUAGGCCAAGCCGAAAACGCCGCCGACCGCCCCCGCACUUCCAACUUCAGAAACAGAACUUUAUGGCCCUGGGGAGUGUGAGGGGAGAGUGAAAAAUGUCUAACUGCUUGCUCUUUCCCUGUGAAUCGAAGUGAGACCCCUCCCCCACCUUGCCCUCCCUUGCUUCCAGCCUUGUUUCCAUACUCUCACCGGGCGGAUUUGGGCUUUGAAAGGGUGAGGAGAAGAGGGGAGAGAGAGAAAGGGCUGGGCUCUGCCAGCUCCCUGCAGCAAUAUAGCAACUUGGAAAUGGCGGGGUCAAUGAAAACAGCUCGAGUAAGGACUGUGAUGGGAACUUUGCCCAAGGGAGAAGCAGAAGCAAGAUAAGUAAUCCACCAAAACAUGAGCAGAAUAGAGCCUGUCACAAAGUGGACACUCAGACACUAUUAAAGGAAUGAAUCAAUGGCUGCUGGUGGUUAUAACUCAUCUGGAGGAGGCAGAAAUG